rnacentral:misc_RNA from 1 species
GAAAUGCGAUAUGUAAUGUGAAUUGCAGAAUUCAGUGAAUCAUCGAAUCUUUGAACGCACCUUGCGCUCCUUGGUAUUCCUUGGAGCAUGCCUGUUUGAGUAUCAUGAAAUCUUCAAAGUAAAUCUUUUGUUAACUCAAUUGGCUUCUACUUUGGUAUUGGAGGUCUUUGCAGCUUCACACCUGCUCCUCUUUGUUCAUUAGCUGGAUCUCAGUGUUAUGCUUGGUUCCACUCGGCGUGAUAAGUUAUCUAUCGCUGAGGACACUGUAAAAGGUGGCCAAGGUAAAUGCAGAUGAACCGCUUCUAAUAGUCCAUUGACUUGGACAAUACUUUUAUGAUCUGAUCUCAAAUCAGGUAGGACUACCCGCUGAACUUAAGC